AUGGGAGGAUUUUGCUGCUGCCUUUCCACAGACGAUUUUGAGGAAUAUGUUCAUCCAAAUAAUCCUGUCUAUAGACAAUGCAUAUCCCUAAGGCAGUUGUUUCACAACAUGUUUGGGGGGUAUACUGCAGCAUUCCAGAGGCUCGACUCUAGGCCAAGCAACCCAGCUCAAGGAGCUGCGCCAUUGGCAUCCACUAAUCCAAGUACUAAUAUAACUGAGAGUUCGCUGUCUGAAACUUUUCACCUUGUUUCUAGACCACCCCCAUAUGACAUUGACCCUAGAUAUGCCCGAGUUCAAAGAGAGGGACUGGUAUCAAGGCGUGAAAAGUCUAUAAACCUCACGCAUGAAGAGUCCCCAGCUCUUAGACGAAAUGGCAGCAGCUCCGGUGUCGAGCAUUUAGCUGCUCAAAAGAAAAGGAGCAGCACUGAUCCUGAGGGUGAACAUAAGGUGCGUCGUUCUGAGUCGACUAAGAGUCUUUCUGGAAGAGCAUAUAACAGCAGUUAUGCCGUCAUCACUUCAGACGACGAAGAUGUCUGCCCUACUUGUCUGGAAGAGUACACCCCGGAGAAUCCGCAGAUCAUAACUAAAUGCUCCCACCAUUUCCAUCUAAGUUGUAUUUAUGAGUGGAUGGAGAGAAGCGACACCUGCCCAAUUUGUGGGAAGGAAAUGGAGUUCUGCGAGAGCCCCUGA
rnacentral:rRNA from 1 species